rnacentral:snoRNA from 1 species
AGUACAGAUACAACUUAAUAUUGUGACCAGAGACUGAAGUUUUCCACAAGAUGACACAGCCAUUCAACUGUGCUAUGAUCUUCUGUGGCGAUAUAAAA